rnacentral:rRNA from 1 species
GAUGAACGCUGGCGGCGUGCCUAAUACAUGCAAGUCGAGCGAACAGACGAGGAGCUUGCUCCUCUGACGUUAGCGGCGGACGGGUGAGUAACACGUGGAUAACCUACCUAUAAGACUGGGAUAACUUCGUGAAACCGGAGCUAAUACCGGAUAAUAUAUUGAACCGCAUGGUUCAAUAGUGAAAGAGGGUUUUGCUGUCACUUAUAGAUGGAUCCGCGCCGCAUUAGCUAGUUGGUAAGGUAACGGCUUACCAAGGCAACGAUGCGUAGCCGACCUGAGAGGGUGAUCGGCCACACUGGAACUGAGACACGGUCCAGACUCCUACGGGAGGCAGCAGUAGGGAAUCUUCCGCAAUGGGCGAAAGCCUGACGGAGCAACGCCGCGUGAGUGAUGAAGGUCUUCGGAUCGUAAAACUCUGUUAUUAGGGAAGAACAAAUGUGUAAGUAACUAUGCACGUCUUGACGGUACCUAAUCAGAAAGCCACGGCUAACUACGUG